rnacentral:lncRNA from 1 species
AUGUCGCCCUCCAGGCGAGAGACAACGUUUCCAACGCAGCAGGGUCCAGGCCUAGAGCAGGCAGCAGGAAGGGAGAGGGGCACACACAACAUACACAACCACACCACACACUCCAUCCCACACCACACACCCCAUCACAUCCCACACCACACACACCAAAAACACCCCGUUACACACACCACACACCCCAUCACAACACACACCCCAUCACACCCCACAUCACACACACCAUACCACACACAUACCAUCAUGUCACACACCACACACCCCAUCAUACAACACACAACCAUACCACACAUCCCAUCACACAUGACACACCACAAUACACACAUCCCAACACGCAACACAUUCCAUCACACACCAGACACCCCAUACACACCACACACAACACACUCCAUCACACACCAUUACACACACAACCACACCACACACCCCAUCACACACAUUCCAUCACACCACACACCCCAUCACACACACUCCAUCACACCACACACAUCCCAUCACAGACCACAACACGUACACUCCACACACCACACACCCCAUCACACAAUACACAACCAUACCACACAUCCCAUCACACAGCAUGACACAACCACAAUACACACAUCCCAUCACACACUUCACACACCACAACCACAUCACACACCACAACCACACCACACACCCUAUCACACCACACACCAUCACAGUCACACCACACACCGCAUCACACAACGCAACCACGGCACACAUACCCCAUCACACACACAACCAUACCACAAUCACACCACCACACAACACGUAACCACAGCACACACAUCCUAUAAACACACAACCUCACACCCCAUCACACACACACCACAAUCACCCCUGCCACACACAUCACACAACCACACCACACCCCUCUACACACACCCCAUAGUCUCACACACACACACACACACACACACACACACGGAGGUUCCCUGCGAGAACUGUCUUGGGAGACUGGCCUGGCCCGGCCGUGCUGAAUCCUCUAGGGCGAGCGUGAGCCGCCGGCGGCCCAGGCAGACUCUUGUUCCGGGACUCGGCCGGCCGCGGCCCUGA